GACGAACGCUGGCGGCGUGCUUAACACAUGCGAGUCGAACGGAAAGGCCCUGCUUGCAGGGUACUCGAGUGGCGAACGGGUGAGUAAAACGUGGGUGAUCCGCCCUGCACUUCGGGAUAAGCCUGGGAAACUGGGUCUAAUACCGGAUAUGACCUUCCAUGUAGUGUGGGGGGUGGAAAGAUUUAUCGGUGUGGGAUGAGCCCGCGGCCUAUCAGCUUGUUGGUGGGGUAAUGGCCUACCAAGGCGUCGACGGGUAGCCGGCCUGAGAGGGUGGACGGCCACAUUGGGACUGAGAUACGGCCCAGACUCCUACGGGAGGCAGCAGUGGGGAAUAUUGCACAAUGGGCGGAAGCCUGAUGCAGCGACGCCGCGUGGGGGAUGACGGCCUUCGGGUUGUAAACCUCUUUCGACAGGGACGAAGCUUCGGUGACGGUACCUGUAAAAGAAGCACCGGCUAACUACGUG
rnacentral:rRNA from 1 species